GCAGGGAGUGAGAGCAAAAUGAGAGGCCGAGGUAUAUAAACUGUUCGCGUAAUACCACGGAGAGCCUGAUGUAUAGUAAUGGGUCCAGGAUCGUAAACGUCUCUCUUGGCACUCUCACCACUGUCAGAUUAUUACUGUGUUCUCAGAUUCAGCUGAAUGUGUUCAAGGAUCUUCUUUGGUCUGAAAGGUCUUGAAAUAUAUGGCCUAUAAAAUCAUUCUCUUUGGGAAAGAAUUGCAGACAAGUCAUCAUCCUUUGAGGAUAAGUUCGAUUAAAAGGGUUACUGAAUUUCUUCUGUGGUGUAUUUCAUAAAAGAGAAGAUGCUGAUAAGAUCCCGUUUAAAUGGCUUGCUAAUACCAGAAGCAGAUCAUUUAAAAUGGACCUUACAUCUUUAUAGGAUGUUAGAAAUGAAGACAUUACCUCAAAAUAUGCUGGCUGUGAAACCGGAACACUGCUUUUAAAUGUCUUCUAAAGAAGCAAAGAAAAAUGUGUCCCCUCAACCACUACAGAGCGAGAUAAAAGAAAAUAAUGACGGUGUGCACUGCGUUGUCAAUGAUGACCUUUAGGGAAUCUUUUUAGAACAUCUCCACAGCUAGAAAAGGCUUUUCUCUCCCCCCUCAAAAUUGAUUUAUUCCAAACUUAUUAUUAAAAUAAUUUCAUGUUGUUAAAUCUCAAUUCCUUGAUGCAGUUUUUCACUGAGGCUACACAUGUAUUAAUUGAGAGUCCCUUUAUUAAUUUCCUGGAUAACUGGUGAGUGACACUCCCUGCCUGAGAUAUAGAACUCUGAUAGGUGAAGAACUACCGUUGGAAUAGAAAACAAGGGGCCAUAGGAUGUGAAAAAUUGGUCAGAAGGAAGAAGGAGAACACCAGGAGAGUAUGGGCAUAAGAUCUAAUAUAGAAUGUGUUCAAUCCUGCUCUCCAUCCUGACCCCUCCCAAGUCACUUAGAAUCUGUGGACUGAAUAUAUGAGGUUAAGCUUUAUUUGCAAUACAUGGGUAGCAAGCUACGAAAAGGCAUAAAAAUAUAAACCAUUUUAGGUGUCUCUUAUGUGUGAAGAGUUGAUUUCAGACGUUAAGUUUUCACUAUAUACAUUUAUAAUUUCAUGACGCUAGGGUAGUCUAAGUAUUUAGUAAUAUUUAUGGUCCUCAGUCAUUUCUCCCAGUACAUUCCAUGCAUGUGUGUAAUUUUUCUACAACUAAUAGCUGAUUCUUUUAUAAAGAAUGGUAAUGGGAGUGGGUAAUUAUCAUCUAGUUGCUUAGGACUGU
rnacentral:lncRNA from 1 species